GUGGGGAAUAUUGGACAAUGGGCGAAAGCCUGAUCCAGCAAUGCCGCGUGUGUGAAGAAGGUCUUCGGAUUGUAAAGCACUUUAAGUUGGGAGGAAGGGCAGUAAGUUAAUACCUUGCUGUUUUGACGUUACCGACAGAAUAAGCACCGGCUAACUUCGUGCCAGCAGCCGCGGUAAUACGACGGGUGCAAGCGUUAAUCGGAAUUACUGGGCGUAAAGCGCGCGUAGGUGAUUUUGUAAGUUGGAGGUGAAAUCCCCGGGCUCAACCUGGGAAGUGCCUGCAAAACUGCAUGACUAGAGUACGGUAGAGGGUAGUGGAAUUUCCGGUGUAGCGGUGAAAUGCGUAGAUAUAGGAAGGAACACCAGUGGCGAAGGCGACUACCUGGACUGAUACUGACACUGAGGUGCGAAAGCGUGGGGAGCAAACAGGAUUAGAUACCCGGGUAGUCC
rnacentral:rRNA from 1 species